rnacentral:lncRNA from 1 species
CGGGGGUCAGGGCCUGUUAGGGCCUCCUAGUUUCAAAUGACUCCCUCACCCACCCUCAUCCCACCUACCACACCAGAAAGACCACGUCCCAUCCUCCAAGUAUGCCCUCCACUCUGUCCUCUGUGCCUUUUCCAUGCUGUUCCCUCUGCCUUUCCCUUUCCUGAAUGUUACCUGAUUUAAUCAGACCCAUCCUUCAAGGCUUUAGUACCACGUCCUCCAUAAAGCCUGCCUUGAUUUCCUCUGCCUGUAUCAACAUCCCUAACUCGCUUUCCUUCACUGGGCUGAGGGAGGGACUGUCCCCAGAUUGGAGGGGGGUGCAGUCAGGUGCUGGGGUUAAAGGCACAGACAGACAUUGGCUUCCGGCGCAACCGGGCUGACAUUCUGGGUUUGCUGCGCGUUGACUCAGUUGGUGGCAGUGUUAUUGUAGCCGUGGUUUCAAGUGUCUGCCACGGGGCUCAACCGAGCGUCGCUGGAAGAUCGGAUGCAUUAAAACGCGUGUGCAAAGCUUCGCCCACAGCAGGAUGGAUAAACCAGCAGGAUAAACCCUCUACCAUUGGAGCUGUCUUUUCUUUGCAUGCCUGCGUUGCCCCCACUUUCCAGGUGAGGAACGGAGGCCCAGAGAGGGAGAGCGGCUGGCCAAGGUCACCCCCCAGGGAGUGGCGCUGCCCGCUGUCUGCAUUGAAUCAGAGUACCUACAACCACACUCCAGUUGCCGCGAAGAAACACACCUGUCCUUGCUCUCAUGGAACUUACAGUCUGCUUGGAAACAAAGAAUGAAAGUCGUAAAUCAGUAAAACAGGAAGAUCAAGCUGGGAAGGGGACUGGUGGGAGAAGUUUGAGCAUAUUUUUAGGCUGUUGAGAAUGAUCCUGGAAAGGGGAUAAAAUUACUGAUGCCGGAGAGAGAAGACCUGCUGGUGCGAAGUGUUUGUGUGGGUGAAAGGGGCCGGCAUCGAAGCUCAGAUGGACACGGCUUAAAUAGGCUACAAAGAAAGAAACUGAGGCCCAGAGAGGUGAAGUGACCUCCCCUGGGACCCACAGGCUCCUGCUUGAAGAAACAGGGCGGUGGCCCCCAGUGUUGGCUUGGGAGUGAGGUCCUGUGAGGCUGCAGACACAAUUCAGUGACGCAUGCACUGGACUCCUGGCUCCGAGACCCCCAGUGGAUGCCUGAAACCGUGGGCAGUACUCACCCAAUAUUGACUACGUUUUUCCUACACAUACAGACCUAGGAUCAAGCUUAAUUUAUAAAUGAGGCACAAUAAAAAAGAGAUUAACGACAAUGGCUAGUAAUAAAAUAGAAAGAUUAUAACAAUAUCCUGUAAUAAAAGUGACCUUCGAUCUUAGCAACCUCAGCAUACGAUUCUUUUUCUUUCCUUAUUGAGAACUGUCACCUUUUCACCUA